CUCUGGGAGCACGAGGGAAAAGUGACCUUCUCCUGGAUCCUGUGUGUGAGAAAGGAUUCUUCCUUACUCCCUCAGCAAGGGUGCGGGGUCAAUCAGAGGAGCGCAAGGAAGAAUAGCCAAGGAGUGACCUCUGCCCAAAUCCACACCCCAGGGAAAUGAGGAAAAAGGAAUUGCAAGGUAAAUAAAACUUCAAUAUUUCCCUCCCAGCACCUUUUCCAACACUAACAUGGAAGCAAGGCAGCAUGUUCCAUCCAAAUACCCUCCCUACUCCACUGGACAGAUUCUGCAGCAGUAAAAGCUCCAUCCAAGCAUCCCCUGCAGGGAAAAGGAAGAGAAAUUAAACCCACACAGCCUCCACCUUCACCACAGAGGGCUUGGAUCCCAGAUUUAAGAGGCAAUCCCUGAUGAAUGGCAAAUUACUGACUGCAGAACUCUUUUGCCAAACGAUGCAUCUGCUGUGGGUUUGUAAAUGUGAGCUGAUUUCUAAGUGCUGGAGCAGCUCGAGCUAAUUUCUCUGACGAACCUUCCCCUCUCAUUCCACAGCUGCUCUGGUGUUCCAUGUUCCUGCUCUGCCGUGGACAGAGCUCGUGGUACAAGACAUAAACAUGAUGACUGUGUGCUUAUAUCCCUAUUUUCCACAUAGCCAGGUGGGAAAUGUAGGAUUUUUAGGACACAUUUAACAAUUCUGGCCAUCUAAGGCAAAGCAGAUUAUCACUAUUCCACAGCUUCUAAAAAUUCUUGCAUUAGAUGAAGACAUAUUGGAAAUGUCAAGUGUUUGUUCAUUUUCAUUCUGUGGGGAAGGAAAAAUGAUGACAAUGCCAUCUGUUAGAUGAUUUGAGACUCCACAUUAAAGUGUGGAAUAAACCCUGAAACCACUCAAAAAACUGCUUUAUCACUGCAAAGUGGGAGCAACGGGUGAGAAUGAGGAGAGGAGGAUCCGCAGCUCCUGCAUGCCACUGGCAGAACACUCUGGAAUUAGGAAGUUGACUUUUCCUGACAAAAAGGAGAGUACAGUUGAUGUUUAAUGGUCUGAAUGGUCUUUCUGUGAAUGCAUUUCUGUACCAGAGUCACUCUGCGGCACCG